rnacentral:rRNA from 1 species
UUGGAGAGUUUGAUCCUGGCUCAGGACGAACGCUGGCGGCGUGCUUAACACAUGCAAGUCGAACGAUGAACCUCCUUCGGGAGGGGAUUAGUGGCGAACGGGUGAGUAACACGUGGGCAAUCUGCCCUGCACUCUGGGACAAGCCCUGGAAACGGGGUCUAAUACCGGAUACUGAUCAUCUUGGGCAUCCUUGGUGAUCGAAAGCUCCGGCGGUGCAGGAUGAGCCCGCGGCCUAUCAGCUUGUUGGUGAGGUAAUGGCUCACCAAGGCGACGACGGGUAGCCGGCCUGAGAGGGCGACCGGCCACACUGGGACUGAGACACGGCCCAGACUCCUACGGGAGGCAGCAGUGGGGAAUAUUGCACAAUGGGCGAAAGCCUGAUGCAGCGACGCCGCGUGAGGGAUGACGGCCUUCGGGUUGUAAACCUCUUUCAGCARGRAAGAAGCGAAA